CAACAACAACAACAACAAACCCAGUGUAUUCCCACCUAGUGGGGUCUGGGGGGGGUAAGAUGUACGCAGUCCAUACCUCUACCUCUGAUGAAGUAGAAAGGCUGUUUCCGAAAGACCCCCGGCUCAAGGCACGAGAUACCACACAAACAUAUAGUAAAGCACAGAAGCAGAUUACAUAACAUAAAUACGGCACCCAUAAGGAAUAUAAAACAGAGGAAAGCAGAGGAAAGCACACAGAUUCGUAAUAAACAUGGAACA
rnacentral:lncRNA from 1 species